rnacentral:rRNA from 1 species
AUACCCGCUGAACUUAAGCAUAUCAAUAAGCGGAGGAAG